rnacentral:rRNA from 1 species
UACGGAGGGGGCUAGCGUUGUUCGGAAUUACUGGGCGUAAAGCGCGCGUAGGCGGACCUGCAAGUCGGGGGUGAAAGCCCGAGGCUCAACCUCGGAACUGCCUUCGAUACUGCGGGUCUCGAGUCCGGGAGAGGUGAGUGGAAUUCCUAGUGUAGAGGUGAAAUUCGUAGAUAUUAGGAAGAACACCAGUGGCGAAGGCGGCUCACUGGCCCGGUACUGACGCUGAGGCGCGAAAGCGUGGGGAGCGAACCGG